UACGUAGGGGGCAAGCGUUGUCCGGAUUUAUUGGGCGUAAAGAGCGUGUAGGCGGCCAGAUAAGUCCGCUGUGAAAUCUCGAGGCUCAACUUCGAGCUGUCGGUGGAAACUGUCUGGCUAGAGUCCGGAAGAGGAGAAUGGAAUUCCUGGUGUAGCGGUGAAAUGCGCAGAUAUCAGGAAGAACACCCGUGGCGAAGGCGGUUCUCUGGGACGGUGCUGACGCUGAGACGCGAAAGCGUGGGGAGCGAACAGG
rnacentral:rRNA from 1 species